AGAGUGAACGCUGGCGGCAGGCCUAACACAUGCAAGUCGAGCGGCAGCGCGGGGGCAACCCUGGCGGCGAGCGGCGGACGGGUGAGGAAUACAUCGGAAUCUACCUUGUUGUGGGGGAUAACGUAGGGAAACUUACGCUAAUACCGCAUAAGACCUGAGGGUGAAAGCGGGGGACCGCAAGGCCUCGCGCGACAAGAUGAGCCGAUGUCCGAUUAGCUAGUUGGUGAGGUAAAGGCUCACCAAGGCGACGAUCGGUAGCUGGUCUGAGAGGAUGAUCAGCCACACUGGAACUGAGACACGGUCCAGACUCCUACGGGAGGCAGCAGUGGGAAUAGUUGGACAAGUGGGGGCAACCCGUGACUCCAGCCAUCGCCGCGUGUGUGAAGAAGGCCUUCGGUUAGUAAGCUACUUUUGUUCGGAAGUAAUCUCACGUAUUUAAUACGU
rnacentral:rRNA from 1 species